UACAGAGGGGGCAAGCGUUGUUCGGAAUUACUGGGCGUAAAGGCGCGUAGGCGGCCUGUUAAGUCGAACGUGAAAUCCCCGGGCUCAACCCGGGAACUGCGUCCGAUACUGGCAGGCUUGAAUCCGGGAGAGGGAUGCGGAAUUCCAGGUGUAGCGGUGAAAUGCGUAGAUAUCUGGAGGAACACCGGUGGCGAAGGCGGCCAU
rnacentral:rRNA from 1 species